rnacentral:rRNA from 1 species
GACGAACGCUGGCGGCGUGCUUAACACAUGCAAGUCGAACGGAAAGGCCCUGCUUUUGUGGGGUGCUCGAGUGGCGAACGUGUGAGUAACACGUGAGUAACCUGCCCUUGACUUUGGGAUAACGUCAGGAAACUGGGGCUAAUACCGGAUAGGAGCUCCUGCUGCAUGGGGGGGGUUGGAAAGUUUCGGCGGUUGGGGAUGGACUCGCGGCUUAUCAGCUUGUUGGUGGGGUAGUGGCUUACCAAGGCUUUGACGGGUAGCCGGCGUGAGAGGGUGACCGGCCACAUUGGGACUGCGGUACGGCCCAGACUCCUACGGGAGGCAGCAGUGGGGAAUAUUGCACAAUGGGCGGAAGCCUGAUGCAGCAACGCCGCGUGCGGGAUGACGGCCUUCGGGUUGUAAACCGCUUUCGCCUGUGACGAAGCGUGAGUGACGGUAAUGGGUAAAGAAGCACCGGCUAACUACGUG